UCCAGACUCCUACGGGAGGCAGCAGUGGGGAAUAUUGGUCAAUGGGCGUAAGCCUGAACCAGCCAAGUCGCGUGAGGGAUGAAGGAUCUAUGGUUCGUAAACCUCUUUUAUAAGGGAAUAAAGUGCGGGACGCGUCCCGCUUCGCAUGUACCUUAUGAAUAAGGAUCGGCUAACUCCGUGCCAGCAGCCGCGGUAAUACGGAGGAUCCGAGCGUUAUCCGGAUUUAUUGGGUUUAAAGGGAGCGUAGAUGGGUUGUUAAGUCAGUUGUGAAAGUUUGCGGCUCAACCGUAAAAGUGCAAUUGAUACUGGCAGUCUUGAGUACAGUUGAGGUAGGCGGAAUUCGUGGUGUAGCGGUGAAAUGCUUAGAUAUCACGAAGAACUCCGAUUGCGAAGGCAGCUUACUAAACUGCCACUGACAUUGAUGCUCGAAAGUGUGGGUAUCAAACAGGAUUAGAUACCCCCGUAAU
rnacentral:rRNA from 1 species